UUUUUGCAAAAAUUACCGCGGGUUCAGUAAACAUUUUACAAAUAGCACUGAUCAGGUGAUUUGACUCAUUUUAUCACUUUCUGAUAAGUGAGACCAGAUUAUAAGAAGCUGACUCGGCAAAGUUUUGACAGACACACCCCUGAAUUGUAAAAUGAAAAAGCAAUCAGACCCUCCUCCCCCCUGCCCGAUCCCGUCUGGAUCGGCAGAGGCCCCGAGCUGCCCAACCCCCGCGCCACUCCGGCGACCUCGCCGCAGCGCCACGCGACCCCGCCACCGUGCUGGCCGGCCCCAAGCCGCUACGACCGCGGCCCCACCCCUCGCGCCGACCGGUGCCAAGUGGCUACGACCCCGACCCCUGCCCCGCGCGGGCCGGCCCCAAGCUGCUAUGAUCCCGGCCCCGCUCCUCCUGGGUAGCAAGCACGGCAGCCCCAAGCCGCACGGCGAUGCACCCACGCCUCCCUUUCUUCUUCCUCCCUCCUCUCGCUUUCCCCACCCGGCGGCGCGCAGCCCCGAAGCAAGCAGCGGCGGCAGCGUAGAACACCAGAGCAAGCAGCGGAGCACAGCACGAGCACAAGCAGCAGCAGCGGCGCGGUGGCGUGCAGCACGGACGCAUCACCGGAGCAAGCAGCGACCAACGACUGUGAGCUCCUCCGCUGCCUGUGCAUGGCGUGGACAGCCGUGCAUGAGCGCGAGGCCAUGGUCGAGCAACCGCCCGGCUCCAACCGCGCGGCGGCGCACGGGCCCGACCCGGCCGGCACCGUCGAGGAGCUCUCCACAGAGACCUCCUCCACUGCGCGGCCCUCUGCGCCGACGAGGUCGGCCUCGCCGGGGAACGACGCCUCCUCUCCUCUCUCUGGCAGUUGUGCAAAAGAGGUGUUGAUUGCUUUUUCUUUUUAGAUCUAAGGGUGUGUAUGUAAAUGUUAUGUCAAGUUAGCUCCUUACAAUCUGGUCUCACUUGUCAGAAAGUGAUCAAAUGAGCCAAAUCACCUGAUCAGUGCGAUUUGCAAAAUGUUUACCGAAUCCGUGGUGAUUUUUGCUAAAAAUUAUUGACCUGGUGGUUUUCCGCAGAUGAAGCCUCAGAUGUGGUGGUUUUUUGCAAUUCACUCAAUUAAACAGGUUAGCUAGGAGAAUGAAGCUACAGCUACUGAAAAUUCAAACAGCCUCCUUCCUGACCCCUCUAAAACCAAGAGGUAAAGACUCAUGGCAUGUUCCAUUCAAUUACUUCAGCUCAUAUGACCAAAGAAAUGAGUUAGGUUUCAUAUUCUUGCCAGCAAGGAAAUUCUACUUGUUAAGAAACAAAUAGAGUUGUGAUGUUACAUUAUUGAUUGGCUCAAUUCUUCCUGAUGCAGUUCUAAGUUCCAGUAGUUCUUUUGUCUAUUUGCUUGCUCAUACCUUUUAAGAAGCUACUAAAUACAGGUUCACUGUCAGGUUGGUUAGAUGUUCUAUAGAUCACUAUUAUAUGCAGGAUCAUUAGCUAUCCAAGAAAAUUAGCGUCAGGUUUCAGUAUCCAGUAGGCUAGAUUCCUUGUCAAGCUCGUUUAUUGUUUUGUUGCUCACCAAUGCACUGUAGAUUAGAUGUCUAACCAGUAAAAUUAGCCUGUGGUAUAAGAAUCUAAUGGGUCUUUUGUCCUUUGAAAACAAAAACAUCCUUCUCUAUACGCCUCAAAAAUGGUUUCUUCUAACCUGAUGUGUGCGAUGCUAAUUAAUCAAGCUUUGUUUCCCAUGACUGCUAUGUUCAAAUUAAUAAGAGCCUGAAUAAAACAUCCUUUUACCUUCAAAGUGUAAUAUGCAUUCUUCUUUCAUUCCUCUUGCAUGUACAGGCAAUUCUUGCUGUUGCAAGCAAAAUGACUUGCUUUGUAGCAUGUGGUUUUAAGAACCUGAUGGGUCUUUUGUCCUUUGAGAAGAAAAAAUAUCCUUCUCUAUACAUCUCAAAAAUGGUUUUUCCUUCGCUGAUGUAUGCAGUGCUAUUUAAUCAAGCUUUUUCCCCGAUGACUGCUAUGUUCAAAUUAAUGAUAAGCUCAAUAAAACAGCCUUUUGCCUUCAAAUUGUAAUAUGCAUUCUUCUUCCUUUUCUCUUUUGCAUGUACACGCACUUCUUGCUGUUCCAUGCAAAUUCACUUGCUUUGUUCAUCCAGCUAAUUGCCUAUACAAUUGUUCAUACAAACUAAUUAGCUAUACAAUUGAAUUUGCUACGUGUCUAAUAUUUAUGUUCUUGUUGUUUCUAUAACACUCUAGCUUUAGUUUUCUUUUCACCAGGAACAACAUUAUUAACAUGACUUUUAUUAUUAUUAAUGAAUCAAGGGUUAAUUAGAUAAAUGCCACUCCAAUUAUGGCGAUUCAUAAAAAUGCCAUUGCAAUUUCGAAUCAAACUCAGGGCAAACACUCCUGCAAAGGGAGCUGGCGCUCCAAAGAAAGCGAGGCAGUAGUUCCUCCAUGGAUUAAGCUACAUACGUACAUACGGGUAUCUUCUGUGUUCUGCUUGCUUAUCAAGCGAAGUCCGGCGCUGGAAGGGUGUGUUUCUGAACACAGCUUCUAACCUCUGCUGCAUCUCAUCAACUCUCUGUCCAUCAGGACUGAAGAUCGUCAAUUCAGCGCACUUUUGGGCACGCACUGGGUUUAUUUUGUGCACCUUUGUAAGGCAAGGCUUUGACACCUGAAGAACUAUGUCGAGCCACUGUCAUGACAACUCCUCUAUUUAGGUCCUCGAACAGAUUAGGUUCCAUGCGUUGUAAAUAUCGCCGUCGGCCUUUUCUACAUUAUCUCCUUAUAAAACUUUCUACUCAUUGUAAAUGCCGCUGGGUCAUGCUACUUAAUCUAAGUCUUCUUGUUGUUAUAA